rnacentral:rRNA from 1 species
AUUGAACGCUGGCGGCAGGCCUAACACAUGCAAGUCGAGCGGAGCGGCGGACGGGUGAGUAAUGCCUAGGUAUCUGCCUGGUAGUGGGGGAUAACGUCAGGAAACGGGCGCUAAUACCGCAUACUAUCAGAUGAGCCUAGGUCGGAUUAGCUGGUUGGGGGGGUAAAGGUCUACCAGGGCGACGAUCCGUAACUGUUCUGAGAGGAUGAUCAGUCACGCUGGAACUGAGACAGGGUCCAGACUCCUACGGGAGGUAGCAGUGGGGAAUAUUGGACAAUGGGCGAAAGCCUGAUCCAGCUAGGCCGCGUGUGUGAAGAAGGUCUUCGGAUUGUAAAGCACUUUAAGUUGGGAGGCGUUACCAACAGAAUAAGCACCGGCUAACUACGUGCCAGCCGCCGCGGUAAGUC